CUGGCGGCGUGCUUAACACAUGCAAGUCGAACGAUGAAGAGGGAGCUUGCUUCUUCUGGAUUAGUGGCGAACGGGUGAGUAACACGUGAGCAAUCUGCCCUUGACUCUGGGAUAAGCGUUGGAAACGACGUCUAAUACCGGAUACGACCCUCGGAGGCAUCUCCUGGGGGUGGAAAGAAUUUUGGUCAAGGAUGAGCUCGCGGCCUAUCAGCUAGUUGGUGAGGUAAUGGCUCACCAAGGCGACGACGGGUAGCCGGCCUGAGAGGGUGACCGGCCACACUGGGACUGAGACACGGCCCAGACUCCUACGGGAGGCAGCAGUGGGGAAUAUUGCACAAUGGGCGAAAGCCUGAUGCAGCAACGCCGCGUGAGGGAUGACGGCCUUCGGGUUGUAAACCUCUUUUAGUAGGGAAGAAGCGAAAGUGACGGUACCUGCAGAAAAAGCACCGGCUAACUACGUGCCAGCAGCCGCGGUAAUACGUAGGGUGCAAGCGUUGUCCGGAAUUAUUGGGCGUAAAGAGCUCGUAGGCGGUUUGUCGCGUCUGCUGUGAAAUCUGGGGGCUCAACCCCCAGCCUGCAGUGGGUACGGGCAGACUAGAGUGCGGUAGGGGAGAUUGGAAUUCCUGGUGUAGCGGUGGAAUGCGCAGAUAUCAGGAGGAACACCGAUGGCGAAGGCAGAUCUCUGGGCCGUAACUGACGCUGAGGAGCGAAAGCAUGGGGAGCGAACAGGAUUAGAUACCCUGGUAGUCCAUGCCGUAAACGUUGGGAACUAGAUGUGGGGACCAUUCCACGGUCUCCGUGUCGCAGCUAACGCAUUAAGUUCCCCGCCUGGGGAGUACGGCCGCAAGGCUAAAACUCAAAGGAAUUGACGGGGGCCCGCACAAGC
rnacentral:rRNA from 1 species